CGGUGAGUCAAUUUCUUUAUAUAC
rnacentral:siRNA from 1 species